rnacentral:rRNA from 1 species
CCUACGGGUGGCAGCAGUGAGGAAUAUUGGUCAAUGGCCGGAAGGCUGAACCAGCCAAGCCGCGUGAAGGACGAAGGUGCCAAGUAUUUUAAACUUCUUUUGUCAAGGGACAAAAUCAGGCUCGAGAGCCUGACCGAGGGUACUUGAAGAAAAAGCAGCGGCUAACUCCGUGCCAGCAGCCGCGGUAAUACGGAGGGUGCGAGCGUUAUCCGAAUUUAUGGGGUUAAAGGGGUGGUUAGGCGGACUGUUAAGUCAGCGGUAAAAGCCCGGGGCUCAACCCCGGCGAGCCGUUGAAACUGGCUGUCUUGAGAUGUGGAGAGGUAAGCGGAAUGCGCAGUGUAGCGGUGAAAUGCUUAGAUAUUGCGCAGAACUCCGGUUGCGAAGGCAGCAUACCGGCGGCGAUCUGACGCUGAGGCACGAAAGCGUGGGUAGCAAACAGGAUUAGAUACCCUAGUAGUC